CUUUCAGUUCUGUUUGGUUCUGUAGGAUGUUAUUGUAAUUUCAUGAAGUGUCAGGUCUCAGUGUCGAGGCUAAACCUGUUAUGAUCUUGAUAUGCUUCACAUAUAUUCUCAUUUCAUUCAUGUUUAUCAUGAAGCCUGUCACCAUGGGAACCCUGCAGGACAUCAUGAGGGACAGUUGCUUUGCAGAGAUUUCGCUCCUGAUUCAGGCCAGACCACUUUUUAUCAGCUGUUUGGACUCUCAUUCUGACGGCACCCAUUCACUGCAGAGGAUCCAUUGCUGAGACAGUGAUGCAAUGCUACAUUUCUCCAGAUCUGAUGAAGAAACAAACUCAUCAACAUCAUGGAUGAGCUGAGGGUGAGUACAGUACAUUUCCUGUACAUUUUCAUUUUUUGGUGAUUUUUAGUGAAUGAAGUCAGCAGAAGUAGUUCAUCAAAACAUCUAUUGACAUUCUAUUGUUUUAUCUUAGUAAACCUAUGUCUUUCCUUCAAAUAAAUGCCUCCUUAUUUGGAUAUAGAGUAUUGUUUUCUAAAUGCUAUGACAUUCAGAUAUGUUCAAGUGAGACUGAAGUGUACAAAUACUUGUGGCUCCUGUAUAUCUGAUAAAACGUCUUCCGCUUUUGUUGUAUUCUUUGACUUAUCCAUCUAUUCAAAGGCAAACAUAACAUUCUUCAAUAGAGCUCUUCUGUGAAGGACAGUCAUUUUAUCUCCACAAACACAGAUAUGACCAUAACUUCCAUCUAAAAACAAUAAAAUCACAUGGUUCCAGUUUCUCCACUGAUUGGCUCCUCUUGCCUCGAAGGCUGACGGCACGUGUUCCAGCGGUCUGCAAAGAAAGACAGCUAUUUAUAGCUCCUGGGUGCGGCUAGGAAUAGCAACACGUGAGUCUGGAGCAGCUGUACUGGAGGAGAGGGAGAGCUGGAUUCGGCCGGCGCAGAUUCCCCAUUCACAGAACGAGCUUUCUCAGAGUCGGCCGUCUAAACACUCGGACUCUGUCCCAAAACCUAGUGAGCUGCCUUGGUGUCUAAUGCCUGUAUACACUGGCAGUCGCCUUCUAAAGCAGAUUCCUGACUGAAAUGGAAGCUCAUAAGUGACUGAUUUAGAAUGCGCUUAAUUGUCAGCAACACUGUAAAUAACACACAGGGCAUUUUUAUUGGAUUAAAUGAUAUUUAGAAUCAACGCUUGAAUUGCUUUGUGCUUUGUCUCUCAUCUUGGAUACAUUUUUUUUUUUUUUUUUAUCUUACUGAGCUUAUGGAAAUCCUUGGGAUUGCCUUCACCACAAAGGAACCAUGCAGUGCUGUCUUAAAAUGUGGCUAAAAGAAUGUUACAUAAGUUAUAAGGCAGCAUAAUUAUGCGUCUGUAGCACACAAAUUAUGCCUCAACAUGAUCAGCUCAGUAGGAUUUGGAAUAGAUCCUAAGAUACACUCAUGUUUAAAAGUUUGGGGACUUUAAUAUUUUUUUAAAUGUUUUCAAGACACUAAGGCUGUAUAUAUUUACACAAAAACGUUAAUAUAGUGAAAUAUUAUUUUAAUUUAAAAUAACUCUUUUCUAUGUGAAUGCAUGUUAAAAUGUAAUUUAUUGCUGUGAUGUGCAGCUGUAUUUUCAGCAUCAUUACUCCAGUCUUCAGUGUCACAUGCUUCUUCAGAAAUCAUUCUAAUAUACUGAGUUGCUGCUCAAGAAACAUUUCUGAUUAUUAUCAAUGUUGAAUACAGUUUUAUUUGUUUCACACAGUUUCUUUUUUUUCAUAUUUUUAAAGAAAUCUUUGGUUAUGAAUAGAACAGUAUUUAAAAAAAAAAUUAAUAAAUAAAAACUGACUGACCCCAGACAGUAGGGUAUGUGUUGUCACAUUUAUUUAGUUCAACACAAUAGAUUUCCAGUC
ensembl:lncRNA